AGUAACCAUUUUCAGAUGGUAGCUUCAAAGCUCAAAUCUCAGGCUGGUUUCUUGAAAAUGACAAAAAGUUUGUUGUACUCAAAGGGCCUCCACGGUUACCAGAUCAUCUUUGGGAUGUAGUGGAAUUGAAGAUUCAUAUCAUGGAUGUGGAACUGACAAAUCUGCAGCAACUGAGCAAUGCUGUCAUGUCAGUUCAAGGCAAGAAUAUUGGCAUUCAAAUUUGUGACUGCUGCUGUGAACAGAUGUCACCUCUGGCGAGUAAGGGUAAUGGCACCAGCAGUAAGGCAGGCCCACCCUGGCUCCUGGGGCUAAACAACAUACCACCACUGGGCUUCAGAGGGGGCAGAGGCAGGAGGGACAGCUUCAACAAGUGAACGUUUCACAAGCAUGCUCUCCGCAGUCCUUUUCCCUUCCCUGCAAUUAUCAUCAAAGAACAUCUGUUUGUUGUUCCUCAGGCACCCUCCCCUCACAAGUGUCCUAGCCUCACCUUGACCCAU
ensembl:lncRNA